rnacentral:rRNA from 1 species
AGGACGAACGCUGGCGGCGUGCCUAAUACAUGCAAGUCGAGCGAAUCGACGGGAGCUUGCUCCCUGAGAUUAGCGGCGGACGGGUGAGUAACACGUGGGCAACCUGCCUAUAAGACUGGGAUAACUUCGGGAAACCGGAGCUAAUACCGGAUACGUUCUUUUCUCGCAUGAGGGAAGAUGGAAAGACGGUUUACGCUGUCACUUAUAGAUGGGCCCGCGGCGCAUUAGCUAGUUGGUGAGGUAAUGGCUCACCAAGGCGACGAUGCGUAGCCGACCUGAGAGGGUGAUCGGCCACACUGGGACUGAGACACGGCCCAGACUCCUACGGGAGGCAGCAGUAGGGAAUCUUCCGCAAUGGACGAAAGUCUGACGGAGCAACGCCGCGUGAACGAAGAAGGCCUUCGGGUCGUAAAGUUCUGUUGUUAGGGAAGAACAAGUACCAGAGUAACUGCUGGUACCUUGACGGUACCUAACCAGAAAGCCACGGCUAACUACGUGCCAGCAGCCGCGGUAAUACGUAGGUGGCAAGCGUUGUCCGGAAUUAUUGGGCGUAAAGCGCGCGCAGGUGGUUCCUUAAGUCUGAUGUGAAAGCCCACGGCUCAACCGUGGAGGGUCAUUGGAAACUGGGGAACUUGAGUGCAGAAGAGGAAAGUGGAAUUC